GCGUCUGAUUAGCUAGUUGGUGGGGUAAANGCCUACCAAGGCGGCGAUCAGUAGCUGGUCUGAGAGGAUGANCAGCCACACUGGGACUGAGACACGGCCCAGACUCCUACGGGAGGCAGCAGUGGGGAAUUUUCCGCAAUGGGCGCAAGCCUGACGGAGCAAUACCGCGUGAGGGAGGAAGGCUCUUGGGUCGUAAACCUCUUUUGUCAGGGAAGAAGAAAGUGACGGUACCUGACGAAUCAGCAUCGGCUAACUCCGUGCCAGCAGCCGCGGUAAUACGGAGGAUGCAAGCGUUAUCCGGAAUUAUUGGGCGUAAAGCGUCCGCAGGUGGCUAGUCAAGUCUGCUGUUAAAAACCAGGGCUCAACUCUGGGUCGGCGGUGGAAACUGACAAGCUAGAGUGCAGGAGGGGUAGAGGGAAUUCCCGGUGUAGCGGUGAAAUGCGUANAUAUCGGGAAGAACAUCGGUGGCGAAGGCGCUCUACUGGACUGCAACUGACACUCAGGGACGAAAGCUAGGGGAGCGAAUGGGAUUA
rnacentral:rRNA from 1 species